GAGGAAUAUUGCACAAUGGGCGCAAGCCUGAUGCAGCAACGCCGCGUGCGGGACGAAGGCUUUCGGGUCGUAAACCGCUUUUCUGGGGAAAGAGCAAGGACGGUACCUCAGGAAUAAGUCUCGGCUAACUACGUGCCAGCAGCCGCGGUAAAACGUAGGAGGCGAGCGCUAUCCGGAUUUACUGGGCGUAAAGCGCACGCAGGCGGCUCUGUGAGUCGGACGUGAAAGCUCCCGGCUUAACCGGGAGAGGCCGUUCGAUACUGCGGGGCUUGAGGCAGGGAGAGGAAUGCGGAAUUCCCGGUGUAGUGGUGGAAUGCGUAGAUAUCGGGAGGAACACCUGUGGCGAAAGCGGCAUUCUGGCCCUCACCUGACGCUGAGGUGCGAAAGCGUGGGUAGCAAACAG
rnacentral:rRNA from 1 species